rnacentral:rRNA from 1 species
ACCCGACUGCUAUUUGGGUGAGGAUAAGCCAUGCGAGUUGAAUGGGAAACCUAAAAAUCCCAUGGCAAACUGCUCAGUAACACAUGAUCAGCUUACCCUAUAGAGGAAAAUAACCUCGGGAAACUGAGGAUAAUGUUCCAUAGUCGAAUCGGCUUGGAAAAGUUUUUCAAUAAAAGGGAUAAGGAAAAUGGUCCUUAUCUGCUAUAGGAUAGGAUCGUGCUCGAUUAUGGUUGUUGGUGAGGUAAAGGCUCACCAAGCCGAUAAUCGAUAGGGGCCGUGAGAGCGGGAGCCCCGAGAUGGGUACUGAGACAACGACCCAGGCCUUACGAGGCGCAGCAGGCGCGAAACCUCCGCAAUACACGAAAGUGUGACGGGGUUACCCAAAGUGUUCUAUUUAGAACUGUGGUAGGUGAGUAAUGUCCCCUACUAGAAAGGAGAGGGCAAGGCUGGUGCCAGCCGCCGCGGUAAAACCAGCUCUUCAAGUGGUCGGGAUAAUUAUUGGGCUUAAAGUGUCCGUAGCCGGUUUAGUAAGUUCCUGGUAAAAUCGGGUAGCUUAACUAUCUAUAUGCUAGGAAUACUACUAUACUAGAGGGCGGGAGAGGUCUGAGGUACUACAGGGGUAGGGGUGAAAUCUUAUAAUCCUUGUAGGACCACCAGUGGCGAAAGCGUCAGACUGGAACGCGCCUGACGGUGAGGGACGAAAGCCAGGGGAGCGAACCGGAUUAGAUACCCGGGUAGUCCUGGCCGUAAACGAUGCAUACUAGGUGAUGGCACGGCCAUGAGCCGUGUCAGUGCCGUAGGGAAACCGUUAAGUGUGCCGCCUGGGAAGUACGGUCGCAAGGCUAAAACUUAAAGGAAUUGGCGGGGGAGCACCACAAGGGGUGAAGCCUGCGGUUCAGUUGGACUCAACGCCGGAAAACUUACCAGGGGAGACAGCAGUAUGACGGUCAGGUUGACGACCUUACCUAACGAGCUGAGAGGAGGUGCAUGGCCGUCGCCAGUUCGUGCCGUGAGGUAUCCUGUUAAGUCAGGCAACGAACGAGAUCCGCACCUUUAUUUGCCACCAAGAAGUCACGACUUCGUUGGGAACACUAAAGGGACCGCCGUCGAUAAGACGGAGGAAGGAGCGGGCAAAGGCAGGUCAGUAUGCCCCGAAACCCCUGGGCUACACGCGGGCUGCAAUGGUAUGAAC